GAAACAGCAUCGGAAAGUUGCAUCAGUGAAGUGACCUUUCGCUUGAAAAGAAAGAAAGGAAAAAAAAAGAAAACGAGGGUCGUCAGAAGAUCGUGUCUGUCGAUAUCAUGGUGUCGAGAUAAAGCAAAAGUCGAUGCAGACUUGGAUCUCAUUGGAUACAUCACUCGUCUUUAACGUCACUACUGAGAAAAAUAAUAGCAAACGUGGGGCAAACAAUUCUCACAGCCAAAUCAUUACCAAACACGAGUUAACGAAGAUAAUUAACAAUUUUUAGUUUUUUUAAUUUAGCACAAUUCGACGAUUACGAUACAACCUAGUAUAAACCGCCACUUCCUGUUUCAACUUCCAAUUCUACUAUAUAUCGUUAUAAAAUCCCUCAGUAUAUAUUUCCAAUAUAUACCCUAACUUUUUUCGAAGCACAAUCUUAAAAAUUUAAUAUUAACAUAAGAAUAUGAUAACAUAAUAAUAAUAAUAAUGAUAAUAAUAAUAAUAAUAAUAAUAAUAAUCGUGUUGCAAGCAAUAUUCGUAGUAAUAGUACCAGUAGCAGUAAUUAUAGCAAUAGUAGGAGAAAUAAUAGUGAUAAUAAUGGUAGUAAUAAUAAUGACAAUAAUAAAAGUAAUAAUCAUAAUAAAAAAAGAAUAAAAUAAUUCAACAUCAUCAAAGUGUUAUCUAUCCAAAGUUACACGUUAGAAAGAUACGCAAUAUUCGACUGCGUAUCGCUUGACGAACCAAAGUACGUAGAAUGAAUACAUGGCGUUUCCCUAGCUCAAGUGUACGAAUACCGAACCAGUAGUUCGGUAAUCUUUUGAACGAGGCUACAUAUGACACACUGAUAACUACAAGAAUAUCAACGACGAGAAGACAAAAUGUUCGUGUCAAGUUGUGCUUUCGUACCCGUAAAACAUUUCCAAAUUACAACGAAGCGUAUCACUGUUUUGUACCUUAAUACAUCAUUGAUCUAACUAUAAAACAUUUGUCAAAGAAAGGGCACAUAACCAUCGCGAACAUCGUGACGAUAGCAUGCUUAUGAUCUCAAACCUUUAGAAAAAAUCUUUUUUUGCGUCUCAUUUAUAUAUUAUACAUGUAUAUAUAUAUAUAUAUUUUUUUUUUAAAUAGCCGAUAGUUUAUCAAAAGGACAUAUGCUACUUAAGCCGUGGACAGAUACUUAUAUUCAUAAACAACAGACAUGCGACGUGUUGAACAAUUUCUACGAAGACUUUUUGAGUUUCUCUCUUUCUUUUAUGUACGUGCACAGAACAGCUUCAAAUACUGAAAUCACAGCAACGACUACAUGUUGUUUUCACUUAAAUUCUACUUUAUAGACUAAAAUUACGUAACACAAUGAAAAAUCGUAAUUCGUAAGCGAUCUUGAAAACCAGCAACUCCUUAGAGAACAUUCUUCUCAGACAAAAAAAAAAAGAAAAAAAGAAAAAAAAAGAAAAAAAAAAGAAAAGAAAA